rnacentral:rRNA from 1 species
AUUGAACGCUGGCGGCAGGCCUAACACAUGCAAGUCGAACGAGUGGCGGACGGGUGAGUAAUGUCUGGGAAACUGCCCGAUGGAGGGGGAAAACUACUGGAAACGGUAGCUAAUACCGCAUACCAUCGGAUGUGCCCAGAUGGGAUUAGCUAGUCGGGGGGGUAACGGCUCACCUAGGCGAAGAUCCCUAGCUGGUCUGAGAGGAUGACCAGCCAAACUGGAACUGAGACACGGACAAGACUCCUACGUGAGGAAGCAGGGGGGAAUAGUGCACAAUGGGGGCAAGCCUGAUGCAGCCAGGCCGCGUGUAUGAAGAAGGCCUUCGGGUUGUAAAGUACUUGCAGCGAGUAGGCGUUACUCGCAGAAGAAGCACCGGCUAACUCCGUGCCAGCAGCCGCGGUAAUUC